ACUAUGGAAGAUAGUUCUCACCCCACUCUAUUUCCAGUGGUAGGUUCAGGGCUGCAGAGGGAGGACCGCGGCAAGGGCGUCGCGCCCGACCAGUGAGACCGUGGUAGUAUAGUAGCUUUUCCUUUUGCAUUAGUCACCUAUAUAUAGAGAGAGAUUUAUUGUAGGUGAGGAUUUGGAGAGCUAUGUAUUUUGGAUGAAAAAUGAUGUAAAGAAUGCAACUAUUGUAAUAGUUAGUAAAGUA
rnacentral:lncRNA from 1 species